UUGGCAGGUUGGUAACCUUUGACCCCGUCAGCUUUAGUGCUCAGCAGUGAAAUGGACUGAGGAAUUAUGGGGCUUUGAGAUGAGUCUAUAGAUCACUGACACUGUCCCUGACCAUCAGUGUGAUGCGUAUAAUGAUCAAUCCGAACGUAAACAAUGGGGCAGUAAUUAUGCUCGCUUUAGAUGAUUUCAUGUGUUCGCUGUGUUUUUACGAGAAACGCAACGUUAACAUUUUUCAAAAUGGCGGAACACGUAUAAGUUCAGGUUGCGUUUAGCGGUAGUGUAAAUCCUAAAUAUUAGCUACUUCACCAACGAAUUUACGGUAACUUUUUUCAACAGCGUAAACAAAAUUAUUUGCUAAUAUGUAACAUGAGUAAAUAAAAAUAAAAAUGACAGUUUAUUCUCUAUGAGCUCCAGUAUCUCUAAUAUACAAUAUUAUUACCUUAAUUAACAAUUAAAUUUGUAAGAGCACUAUUGCUAGGCAACUGGGAAACGUGGGCAUCAAGCGAAAGCUAAGUACUAAUUGAGUUAAAGGAUUUAGCUAGCUAGCAUAUGACUACUAAUUCUUUUAAUUACAGAAAAAUAAAAUCAUUAUGAAUAAAAACACUUCCUUCAAAUGUGUUGAUAAAUUGCUAUUACAGGAUUUAAGUACAAUAAAAUUUAUGCUUAAGUGUUUCACAUUUAGGAUUGAGCAUUAACUAAACUUUAAUGGAUAUAUUAAACUGAGCAACGUCAAUAUUGCAUCACAAUUUCUGAAGUCGUAAAUACCACGAGUGGGAUGUUCAUAGGGAAAUGUUUCCUAUACAUAGCACUUUCCUAAACGUGACCCCACUUGAACAAAGAAUUUUAUUUUCACCCAAAAUAUACCUUAUGAAUCUGGGCAACGUAAGGGUAAUGUGCUCAGUUGUAGCCACAUUUGAUACCUUUUCACAAUAGUUAUAAAAGUAAUAAUUUAGUCCACAAUUUACCUCAGGGUUUCGAUAGUCCUGCUAUAUAACAUUGCUAAUAUUAAACAACAUUUUACGUCAGGGUUUCAAUAGUCCCAAUAUACAACACUGCUAAUUUAAGCGACAUUUUACCUCAGGGUUUCAAUAGUCCUAAUAUAUACCAUUGC
ensembl:lncRNA